UAGAAAUGGAUUCUUAUAUGGCGUCAUCAUCAGAUAAUGGCAUUUUGGUACUUUUGUCAUGUUUUUUCUCCCAAACCAACAAAAAUUAUAAAAUAAUGUCGCUGGUGUCCAAUGGUUAAUUAUCAUUUUUUGCGGUGCAUUUCGGCCAAAACGCGAUCUUACGGUGUCCUCCAACAAAGAGUGCAAACUUUGAGUGUCCUGUAGUAAAUUUUGCCUAAAAUUUAAGUUUUAGAUUAUAACUCAAACCCAAACCCAAAGAUAGACCACAGGAAGAUCAGG
rnacentral:lncRNA from 1 species